rnacentral:tRNA from 1 species
ACCUCACUGGCUUAGUUUAGUAGAGCAUGUGAUUCCUGAUCUCAGGGUCGUGAGUUCAAGCCCCGUGUUGGGUG